GCUAGCUAGCUAACCUAACUAACGCUAGCUGAGGUGGUGAAACGGGAAAUUUCUUGCAGUAAACUGGUUAGCUAAUCUAUCUGAGGAGAAGAAUUAACCUACGUUCUCUUAAACUACUAAACUUGCUCAGCUAACGUUAGCUGAUGUGAAAUAGGGACUUUUUAAAAGAAACAGUUAAGCUAGCUGGUUAGCUAGCUAGCCCUGAGGCGGAAGGUUUCUCACAAGUUAAACAAAAAGUGCGGGAAAAUGCGUUUAAGAAACAGCUAACGCAGCUGAUUAGCUAGCUUUAACUCGGGUUAAAUGGGGGAAUAUCUUACCAGAAAAGGCUAGGUUAGCUUAGCUAGCUAGUUAGCUAGCUAGUUAGUUAAAUGAAACGGGCAACUUAUCGCGAGAAAAAACAAAACUAAAGUUAACCAGGUUAGCUAGCUAGCUGAGGCGAAAUUAAAAGAUUAUUUCAGGAAACCACUAGCUUAGCUAGGUUAGCUAUCUAGCUAAAAUUAGCACGGUCGAUGAAUUCUGGCUUGAUUCCGUUUGAAGUUCCAGCAUGUAGGCUAGCUAGAUAACUUCUGUAGCUGCCAUUUAAGGUGGAUUUUUUUCUGGUACACCUUAAACUAUGCAAUAUGUAAUUUUUUUUUUUUGGCUUGCUUGACUCCCUAUCACAGAAAUAAAUAUUGCUCUAUUCACCACGGGCUGAGACACAAUAUCGUGUACUAUUGCUGUGAAAUUUCCCGUUCCUCCUUAAAUUAUGUAAUAUUUUAACGCUGUUUAAGGUGGAACGGGGAAAUUAUCAGUAUAGGUUAUCUGCUUCAUAGCUGUGUAAGAGAGAGGUGUGUGAAAGACGAAGUGAAAGCGAGACGGGAAAAUGAAGGUGGAGGUAGAACCGGACGGAGGUCUAUCACCUGUUCAGGUGUGGAUAGGCCAGCUGAACCAGAUGUGCAGACCACUGCACCAGGGGAUACAGAGGCUUUAGCAGUGAGAUCCCCCUCCCUCCCAGAGGUUCACCGUGGAUCCUGACGCCUCCUAGAAGAGGAGCCAAUCAGCAGCAUCUUCACACCUGUAGAGACACUUUCACACAGAUCAAGUGAUAAAUCAGUUUCCAGAACUACAGUCCAAGAUGUUAAAAACGUCCUGAGGUGAAAGUGCAACAUAACCAGAGCUACAACACAGAGAAAAAGGCUGUGUGAAUGUAAAAGCUUAUUCUACAAGCACAGCACUAUUUUACAUAUUUAAAUAUGUUCUGUUUUUGUGUUUUAGAAUAAUGGUUUAAGAAUUGUA